rnacentral:rRNA from 1 species
UACAGAGGGGGCAAGCGUUGUUCGGAAUUACUGGGCGUAAAGGGCGCGUAGGCGGCCUUCUAAGUCGAACGUGAAAUCCCUGGGCUCAACCCAGGAACUGCGUCCGAUACUGGGAGGCUUGAAUCCGGGAGAGGGAUGUGGAAUUCCAGGUGUAGCGGUGAAAUGCGUUGAUAUCUGGAGGAACACCGGUGGCGAAGGCGGCACCCUGGACCGGUAUUGACGCUGAUGCGCGAAAGCCAGGGGAGCAAACGGG